rnacentral:rRNA from 1 species
GAUGAACGCUGGCGGCGUGCCUAAUACAUGCAAGUCGAGCGAACAUAUGAGGAGCUUGCUCCUCUGACGUUAGCGGCGGACGGGUUAGUAACACGUGGAUAACCUACCUAUAAGACUGGGAUAACUUCGGGAAACCGGAGCUAAUACCGGAUAAUAUAUUGAACCGCAUGUUUCAAUAGUUAAAGACGGUUUUUCUUUCACUUAUAGAUGGAUCCGCGCCGCAUUAGCUAGUUGGUAAGGUAACGGCUUACCAAGGCAACGAUGCGUAGCCGACCUGAGAGGGUGAUCGGACACACGGGAACUGAGACACGGUCCAGACUCCUACGGGAGGCAGCAGUAGGGAAUCUUCCGCAAUGGGCGAAAGCCUGACGGAGCAACGCCGCGUGAGUGAUGAAGGUCUUCGGAUCGUAAAACUCUGUUAUUAGGGAAGAACAAAUGUGUAAGUAACUAUGCACGUCUUGACGGUACCUAAUCAGAAAGCCACGGCUAACUACGUG